CAGUAGCCGCGGUAAUACGGAGGGUGCAAGCGUUAAUCGGAAUUACUGGGCGUAAAGCGUGCGUAGGCGGCUUUUUAAGUCGGAUGUGAAAUCCCUGAGCUUAACUUAGGAAUUGCAUUCGAUACUGGGAAGCUAGAGUAUGGGAGAGGAUGGUAGAAUUCCAGGUGUAGCGGUGAAAUGCGUAGAGAUCUGGAGGAAUACCGAUGGCGAAGGCAGCCAUCUGGCCUAAUACUGACGCUGAGGUACGAAAGCAUGGGGAGCAAACAGGAUUAGAUACCCCCGUAGUCCCUGUCUCUUAUAC
rnacentral:rRNA from 1 species